CCCCUGUAAAGUCCCUGCCUUUUUUUUCUCAGCUGGAAACUGGGAAGUUUGUCAGACAAAGCUCUUCAGGUUACUGGCAAUUUAUGUGCUGGGAGGUGGAUUUGUGGGCAGAGCUCCGGCUGACCUGGUGUUGUCCUGCUAUGGCUACAGACUUCUGACUAUGCUUAUCAGAAAAACUUUCAUUUGGUUCAAGGAUUUUUGCUGACAAGUUUAUUUAAUCCCUGAACCUGGAUCCAAGGCAUCUCCCUGUAGAAAACAUCAGACCGGGGCAGAGAUUGACAAAGCAACCCAAAGCAGCAGCUGCCAACGGCCGCUGUGCCCACCUCAUCAGCAGCUAAAGAGUAUAAUUUUAAAAAAAGUCACAGAAGAAUGUGGAGACACUUAGCAAAACGGACUCUCAUAAGAUUUGAGGAAACUCCUAAGGUCCCUCCAGUGUACAACAAUUUGGGAACUUCCAUUUUCUCAACAACUGCUCUUCCAAGAUGCUGCCUCAUUUCAGAGCCAUGUUUUACUCAUGAGCUGGUCCUGUCCAGAAAACAGCCAAUGCUCAUUCCCGACA
rnacentral:lncRNA from 1 species